rnacentral:lncRNA from 1 species
GCUAGAGUACCAUGAUGAUCUCUGCAUGACUUAGGAUUUAAUAAAUAUGUAAAAAGUAAAGGAGGGUGACAGCAGCAACCUGUAAAACAUUCCAUAUCCACCUGCACACACUUCUAUGCCUGGUCCUAUGCUGGGCACUAAGGAAAGACCUGUCUUUUAGUGUGACGAAGCUUCUCAGGAAUGNCAUCUUGAUUACCCUCAUAGCAUUAAAUGCAAAUGCUUUUGGUAGGCAGCUGAAGUGUUAUCCCAUAUUAUAACCAGUUCUCUCUCCAAAAAUCACAGGAGUGUGUAUUUGGAAGGCAUUAUGUAAUGCACAGAUCACUUUUACAUCCACCAUCAUAUUUAAGAGCUCGUUGUGUCAGGCUCAUGGUUUGUAAUCAGUAAACACUUGUUCAAUGUUGAAAUAGCUCAUCCUAGCAGUUAAGGAGAAGAGAUGAAGUUUACAGAGGCUGACUUGUCCAGGGCCAUUAGGUUUCCAUGAGCUAAUGCAGGAAUGAAGAGUUCUUCUUCUCCAUAGCGUAAACUGGAUACUACUUCUCCCUCUUCCCUUCCCCUACCCUCUUUUCCUCUUGUGGCU